rnacentral:rRNA from 1 species
AUUGAACGCUGGCGGCAGGCCUAACACAUGCAAGUCGAGCGGAUGAAGGGAGCUUGCUCCUGGAUUCAGCGGCGGACGGGUGGGUAAUGCCUAGGAAUCUGCCUGGUAGUGGGGGAUAACGUCCGGAAACGGGCGCUAAUACCGCAUACGUCCUGAGGGAGAAAGUGGGGGAUCUUCGGACCUCACGCUAUCAGAUGAGCCUAGGUCGGAUUAGCUAGUUGGUGGGGUAAAGGCCUACCAAGGCGACGAUCCGUAACUGGUCUGAGAGGAUGAUCAGUCACACUGGAACUGAGACACGGUCCAGACUCCUACGGGAGGCAGCAGUGGGGAAUAUUGGACAAUGGGCGAAAGCCUGAUCCAGCCAUGCCGCGUGUGUGAAGAAGGUCUUCGGAUUGUAAAGCACUUUAAGUUGGGAGGAAGGGCAGUAAGUUAAUACCUUGCUGUUUUGACGUUACCAACAGAAUAAGCACCGGCUAACUUCGU